rfam:Hordeum vulgare subsp. vulgare, WGS project CAJW01000000 data, contig: morex_contig_40471
AUGAUACUCCCUCCAUUCAUAAUUCUUGUCUUAACUUUGUCUAGAAAUGAAUGUAUUAAAAUAUUAAAACGUAACUAAAUGCAUUCAUAUCUAGACAAAUCUAAGACAGGAAUUUUAGGACGGAGGGAGUACUAG